rnacentral:lncRNA from 1 species
GGAAAAAACCACAGAACCUCUCCUGCAAACUCAGAAGCCUCACGCCCCAAAGGGAAAUGGAUCACCAGAGGGUCCACUGCGACCAGUAAAGGUCUUAGUGGUGGGAAUUCCCUCCCCCCAAGGAGCCUCUGGAGUGUGCCAGAGGAUCAAAGGUCACAGUACCAGCUGUAGCUCCAAGGUCAAGGGGACCUUACCUAUGGUCAAAUCAGUGAGAGUCCGGACACACUAGGGUGAGGGGAAAUUGAGAACAUAACCAGCGCUCUCACAGUCAGAGGACAAAUGGUUUUGAAAUCAUGGGACCGAAGCUGGCUCCUCAGGGACUUC